ACCUUAAAUAACUGAGUGGGGGGCUGGUUCUCGUCCGAUCACCGAAGUCAAGCAACAUAAGGCCUGGUCAGUACUUGGAUGGGAGACCGCUUUUGAAUACCGGGUGUUGUAGGCA
rnacentral:rRNA from 1 species